GACGAACGCUGGCGGCGUGCUUAACACAUGCAAGUCGAACGGAAAGGCCCUGCUUUUGUGCGGUGCUCGAGUGGCGAACGGGUGCGUAACACGUGAGUAACCUGCCCUUGACUUUGGGAUAACUUCAGGAAGCUGGGGCUAAUACCGGAUAGGAGCUCCUGCUGCAUGGUGGGGGUUGGAAAGUUUCGGCGGUAGGGGAUGGACUCGCGGGUUAUCAGCUUGUUGGUGGGGUAGUGGCUUACCAAGGCUUUGACGGGUAGCCGGCCUGAGAGGGUGGACGGCGACAAGAGGACUAAGAGAGGGCGCAGACUCCUACGGGAGGCAACAGGGGGGAAUAUGGCACAAUGGGCGGAAGCCUGAGGCAGCAACGCCGCGGGCGGGAUGACGGCCUGCGGGGUGUAAACCGCUUUCGCCUAUGACGAAGCGUGAGUGACGGUAAUGGGUAAAUAAGCACCGGCUAACUACGUG
rnacentral:rRNA from 1 species